CUUCGACUCGUGUUUGGAGGGGACAGCUAUAAUCGCUACAGGGAUGGAUAUGCUCUUCAUACUCCCUUAGCUUCACUGAGCUCUUGUAAGAGCUUGUUCCUGUUCCUGCUUCACUGUCAGAACAAAGAGAGGUUCACCCACAGGAACCUAGAGCCUUGUCGUAGGUCCAGGGUGGGUAGAUGGCGAGACCCCAACCAAGCUGCGGC